rnacentral:rRNA from 1 species
CAACGAGCGCAACCCUUAUCCUUAGUUACUACCAUUUAGUUGAGCACUCUAAGGAGACUGCCCGAGUAAUCGGGAGGAAGGUGGGGACGACGUCAAAUCAUCAUGCCUCUUACGAGUGGGGCUACACACGUGCUACAAUGGACGGUACAAAGAGAAGCGAAGUGGUGACAUGGAGCAAACCUCAAAAAACCGUUCUCAGUUCGGAUUGAAGUCUGCAACUCGACUUCAUGAAGUCGGAAUCGCUAGUAAUCGUAGAUCAGCUACGCUACGGUGAAUACGUUCUCGGGUCUUGUACACACCGCCCGUCAAACCAUGGGAGCUGGUAAUGCCCGAAGUCGGUUUAUUAAGAAACUGCCUAAGGCAGGACUGGUGACUGGGGUUAAGUCGUAACAAGGUAUCCCUACGAGAACGUGGGGAUGGAUUACCUCCUUUCUACGGA